rnacentral:rRNA from 1 species
UACGGAGGGAGCUAGCGUUGUUCGGAUAUACUGGGCGUAAAGCGCACGUAGGCGGCGCAGCAAGUCAGGGGUGAAAUCCCGGAGCUCAACUCCGGAACUGCCCUUGAAACUGCAGUGCUAGAAUCCUGGAGAGGCGAGUGGAAUUCCGAGUGUAGAGGUGAAAUUCGUAGAUAUUCGGAGAACACCAGUGGCGAAGGCGACUCGCUGGACAGGUAUUGACGCUGAGGUGCGAAAGCGUGGGGAGCAAACAGG